GUAUGGUGAAGGCAUUGCAUAGGGCAGAUAACUUCUUUCAUGACUACCUUUGUCAUUCAAGUACUAUCAUUAGGAUAGACAAAUUGAUCAGUUAUGCUCACGUAGUAACAGUGUACAGCUGGAUUACAUUUCUUAGCUUUAAUUGUUAAGUAAGAGUUUAUAGGGUGAUCAAGCAGGUUAGAGAAACCAAAUGUUUCAUGAACACUGCCAAGUCUCUUUUAUCAGCAUUCAACUUAUCAGAAAGUUUACAUAAUAUGUUUCUAAACUGCUAGACCUCAGGCACACUAUGGUGAGUGAGGUGAAAUGAAAAGAAAUCAUCAGAUUGCAUGGAAAAAUGAGUUAGCAUAUUGUUUUCUGUCUGUAAUGAAUUCAUCUGAAGAUAUUGUGGUAGGCCAGUUUACCAGGAUCCCACAGUUACAGUGUAGAGUUUAUUAAUGUAAUUUAUAUGAAAAAAAAAACAAAAAAAAACAAAAAAAAAAAAACACCAAAACUUAAAGUUAUAUCAUUCUUAUGGCUUCCAAUCUUAAUCAGAAAUCCUAUCCAGAAUAAACUAUGAUCUGUUAUUUAUUUUCUUGGUAUUCAACAGUGUGAAGAAGGACUUGUGCUCUCCUAUGGGGCAACACACUUAAUGAAAAGGUAGAUACUUGUAAUUGAUCUUUUUACUUUGAAUACAUGUCAUGAAAAUGUGGUAUGGUCCUCAUUUAGAUUAAAAUGACAAAUAGGGCAAAGCAUUUUAUUAGUUUGGGGAGAUUCUAUCUGUACUUGUAGAGACUCUGUAAAUUGAUCUUCAUCUAGGUAAGAUUAAAACAAAUUGUUUUUACCAGUGACUGUGCAGUAUAAACUCCUGAUGCUCUUUCACCAUGUCCUUCUUUCAUUCUUUUCUCAGGGCUGUAAGGACACUACCAGCCCUGACUGGCCAUGGUUGACCUCUCCGCUGACUGUCCAUGCAUCAGAAUCCCAGUUAAAACAAGCCUGGUUUUGCAUAAAAAGUGGACAAGUUUUUGAGCCAAGAAAGAUUUUAUGUGCCAAAGGAAGUUCUGUGAAGAAGCUCAUAUUAGUUCUAUGAAGAUUUAUUCUUAUUAUUAUCAUUUGUUUUUUGAAGGUUGUAUACCAGCUGUAGUUAAAUGACCAGACCAUGUAUUAAAAAUGACCAGACAUGAUGACCAUGAUAGAAGGACAUUGCCUCUCAUAUUCAUUGAAGAGAAGAGGUGAAAUCAUCACUUCUCAGGAAUAUACAGCUGUGGCAUUGAGACCAGAUGUAUAAAGAUGAGACAGACUAUGGUUCCGAAUGAGGUAUUUGGACUUUGUUGUACAUGACAAUUACUGCAUAUGGAGUGUUCAAUUUAUUUUCUCCUUUAAAGAUCUGUCUCAUUUUACAGGUUUGGACAGAAAUUUUCCUUGUCCCUUUCUCACAUAAAUGAUUCUACUGAAUUGGAACAAUAAAACCAAUAUUUAACCCUAUAGUCUUGGAUUU
rnacentral:lncRNA from 1 species